rnacentral:rRNA from 1 species
AACGAACGCUGGCGGCAGGCCUAACACAUGCAAGUCGAACGAGAACGGUACUUCGGUACUUAUUAAAGUGGCAGACGGGUGCGUAACGCGUGGGAAUCUACUUAUCAGUCUGGGAUAGCCCUGUGAAAACGGGAUUAAUACCAGAUACGCCCGUAAGGGGAAAGUUUUAUCGCUGAUAAAUGAGCCCGCGUUAGAUUAGGUAGUUGGUAGGGUAAUGGCCUACCAAGCCUACGAUUUAUAGCUGGUCUGAGAGGAUGAUCAGCCACACUGGGACUGAGACACGGCCCAGACUCCUACGGGAGGCAGCAGUGGGGAAUAUUGGACAAUGGGCGAAAGCCUGAUCCAGCCAUGCCGCGUGAGUGAUGAAGGCCUUCGGGUUGUAAAACUCUUUCAAUUGUGAAGAUGAUGACGGUAACAAUAGAAGAAGCCCCGGCUAAUUUCG